GAUGAACGCUGGCGGCGUGCCUAAUACAUGCAAGUAGAACGCUGAAGGAAGGAGCUUGCUCUUUCCGGAUGAGUUGCGAACGGGUGAGUAACGCGUAGGUAACCUGCCUGGUAGCGGGGGAUAACUAUUGGAGACGAUAGCUAAUACCGCAUAACAGUAGAUGUUGCAUGAUAUCUACUUAAAAGGUGCAAUUGCACCACUACCAGAUGGACCUGCGUUGUAUUAGCUAGUUGGUGAGGUAACGGCUCACCAAGGCGACGAUACAUAGCCGACCUGAGAGGGUGAUCGGCCACACUGGGACUGGGACACGGCCCAGACUCCUACGGGAGGCAGCAGUAGGGAAUCUUCGGCAAUGGACGGAAGUCUGACCGAGCAACGCCGCGUGAGUGAAGAAGGUUUUCGGAUCGUAAAGCUCUGUUGUAAGAGAAGAACGAGUGUGAGAGUGGAAAGUUCACACUGUGACGGUAUCUUACCAGAAAGGGACGGCUAACUACGUG
rnacentral:rRNA from 1 species